rnacentral:rRNA from 3 species
UACGAAGGGGGCUAGCGUUGCUCGGAAUCACUGGGCGUAAAGGGCGCGUAGGCGGCCAUUCAAGUCGGGGGUGAAAGCCUGUGGCUCAACCACAGAAUUGCCUUCGAUACUGUUUGGCUUGAGUAUGGUAGAGGUUGGUGGAACUGCGAGUGUAGAGGUGAAAUUCGUAGAUAUUCGCAAGAACACCGGUGGCGAAGGCGGCCAACUGGACCAUUACUGACGCUGAGGCGCGAAAGCGUGGGGAGCAAACAGG